rnacentral:rRNA from 1 species
GUCCACGCAGUAAACGAUGAUAGCUCGUUGUCGGCGAUACACAGUCGGUGACUAAGAGAAAUCGAUAAGCUAUCCACCUGGGGAGUACGUUCGCAAGAAUGAAACUCAAAGGAAUUGACGGGGGGCCCGCACAAGCGGAGGAACAUGUGGUUUAAUUCGAUGAUACGCGAGGAACCUUACCCGGGCUUGAAAGUUAUUGACGGAUCUGGAAACAGAUCUUCCCUUCGGGGCAAGAAACUAGGUGCUGCAUGGUUGUCGU